UACAGAGGGUGCAAGCGUUGUUCGGAAUUAUUGGGCGUAAAGGGCGCGUAGGCGGUGCCACAAGUCACCUGUGAAAUCUCCGGGCUUAACUCGGACCUGCAGGCGAAACUGUGGUGCUGGAGUGUGGGAGAGGUGCGUGGAAUUCCUGGUGUAGCGGUGAAAUGCGCAGAUAUCAGGAGGAACACCGGUGGCGAAGGCGGGUUCUGCAUGGCA
rnacentral:rRNA from 1 species